GACGAACGCUGGCGGCGUGCUUAACACAUGCAAGUCGAACGGAAAGGCCCUGCUUUUGUGGGGUGCUCGAGUGGCGAACGGGUGAGUAACACGUGAGUAACCUGCCCUUGACUUUGGGAUAACUUCAGGAAACUGGGGCUAAUACCGGAUAGGAGCUCCUGCUGCAUGGUGGGGGUUGGAAAGUUUCGGCGGUUGGGGAUGGACUCGCGGCUUAUCAGCUUGUUGGUGGGGUAGUGGCUUACCAAGGCUUUGACGGGUAGCCGGCCUGAGGGGGUGACCGGCCACAUUGGGACUGAGAUACGGCCCAGACGCCUACGGGAGGCAGCAGUGGGGAAUAUUGCACAAUGGGCGGAAGCCUGAUGCAGCAACGCCGCGUGCGGGAUGACGGCCUUCGGGUUGUAAACCGCUUUCGCCUGUGACGAAGCGUGAGUGACGGUAAUGGGUAAAGAAGCACCGGCUAACUACGU
rnacentral:rRNA from 1 species